CGCGGCCUAUCAGCUUGUUGGUGGGGUGAUGGCCUACCAAGGCAGUGACGGGUAGCCGGCCUGAGAGGGCGACCGGCCACACUGGGACUGAGACACGGCCCAGACUCCUACGGGAGGCAGCAGUGGGGAAUAUUGCGCAAUGGGCGGAAGCCUGACGCAGCGACGCCGCGUGAGGGAUGACGGUCUUCGGAUUGUAAACCUCUUUCACCCACGACGAAGCGAAGGUGACGGUAGUGGGAGAAGAAGCACCGGCCAACUACGUGCCAGCAGCCGCGGUAAUACGUAGGGUGCAAGCGUUGUCCGGAAUUAUUGGGCGUAAAGAGCUCGUAGGCGGCUUGUCACGUCGACUGUGAAAACCCGGGGCUCAACUCCGGGCCUGCAGUCGAUACGGGCUGGCUUGAGUGCGGUAGGGGAGACUGGAAUUCCUGGUGUAGCGGUGAAAUGCGCAGAUAUCAGGAGGAACACCGGUGGCGAAGGCGGGUCUCUGGGCCGUAACUGACGCUGAGGAGCGAAAGCGUGGGGAGCGAACAGGAUUAGAUACCCUGGUAGUCCACGCCGUAAACGUUGGGCGCUAGGUGUGGGGACCUAUCCACGGUCUCCGUGCCGCAGCUAACGCAUUAAGCGCCCCGCCUGGGGAGUACGG
rnacentral:rRNA from 1 species